UUACAUAGACAUUAACGCACACAUAACAAUACUCACAUAUACUUUCUUUUUCAUUCAACAUAUAUACACAAUACAACUCCCAAUAGUAAAAAGAGUGAUGGAAAAAAGAAGAGUGGAAGAAACAGAGAGAAAUUGAGAGAGGAAAAAUAGACAGAGAGAAUUAUAAAAAGAGGAAAUAAAAUAGUAAGAGAGGGAGGGAAAUUGAGAGAGAGAAAUUUAGAUAAAUGGAAUAAAGGAGAACAACUUUUCCCGGUGAAGUUUUCACCAAAAUUGCCAUCUCCACCAGCGAUCAAGCUCCCGACCAGACCCACCCACCAGAAAAUCCACUAACUACAUUAUUGAUUACCUCUAUCAAUGAAGAACCAAAAAAUAGAGAGAGAAAUUUAUCAAAACUCAUCAGCUCCUCUGUUCGAAACACUAGCCAUUUUCCAUCGUUGAAUUAAAGCCGACCAGCAAACCACCACCAAAAUAAUAACAAAAAUUGAGAAAACAAUUGGGUUUGGGCCAAACAGAGAUUGAGGUUGGAUUUAUUUAUAGGGGUGUUCAUUAUUGAGGUUGAGUCGAGGAAUUCAGGUGUUGAUCCAAUCAUCAGUCAAGUAAUGUGAUGAUGAAUUCAAUAAAGGUCAAACUCCUUUUUCCCUAAUCUUUGUUAUAAUUUUGUGGAUCUGUGGUGAUGAUUUGUGCAAUAUUUUGUUAUUAUGGUUUUUUGGUUUCUUGUGGGAAUUUGCUUAUGACAUUUGAGGUUGUUCGUCCAUAUUUGUGUUUUACCAUUCUUAAUCUUUGGGAUGAAGAAUUGAUUUUGGCAUCCCUAUUGAUAUUAUUUAACUUGAAAUUGAGAAUGGAUUGACCUUGAUAAAAGUAAAUUAUUGAUUCAUUGAUGGUGGUUUAAUUAGGAAUAAACAUUGAUGUCGUGGAAUGCUAUAGUAUCAUGAUAAGUUAAAAUUAGUAGACAAACGUAAGGUUGGUAGGCAAAUUUAAGGUUUGUGAAUUAUUGAAAGUUUGAAUGUUUGUUGAAUGAUUUUCAUUUUUUCGUAUUUGAAUCAACUGCACUCAUUUGGCCGGGGAAUGCCCCGAGGUUAUCUGUAUUAUUUUAUCCAGGCAAUGCCGCUACAGAGUUGUAUUCGAAAGACUGAUUGUGAUCAAGGCCCGAGUCAUCGGGUAAACCAUACCUUAGGAUAGUUUGGAUAGAUUAAAUUUUUAUUUCAACAUUUCAUUUACUUUGGCCUAUAUUAAAUUGGACUGACACUAUUUUUUGGAGUUUCUACUGUUUGGGUUGUUUGUUUUCUUGGUGUAUGUUUUGUUGGUUUAUACAUUUCAUUGUGUCAUACUAGAAGAUAUACUCCACGAAGCGGCCGUGGUUGAACCACGGGACUGAGGGAUGCCUAACACAUUUUUCUCGGUCAACAGAAUUCCUUAAUCGAAAUAUCUAUUCGUGGACCAGUUUUAAAGAGUCAAAAAUCAUUUCAAAAAAGAAUUUCCAUAGUGACUCUGAGUUUAAAUGUAAAAAUCCUUUUCGAAAUAAAUUUUUGCUUUUAGUCACUUCAAUAAUAAAACUCUUUAUGAACUUAAAAUUGAAUCUUUUUUAAAGCAAAAAAAAGAGUGAGACAACCUAAUGGCGGGAUAAAGUAGAUGACAUCAUGACUCGUAAAUAGUGUCGUGAUAGUGUGACAAUUGUUAAAUCUGACAGCUUGACAGUCUUUAAGUAAAGUGUUCAUAACUUCUUUCUCCAAUAUCAAAUUAAGUCAAAAAAAUUGGAUGAGUUGAAAAGAUAAUUUAGAUAUCUUUAAUUUUGGGGGAGGGGAGGUCUUGAGACUCACAAAUCUUCAUUAUCUAGGAGUUAUACUCGUUUGAAAAUAACUAUAGAAAGAUUCUACACAAGAAAUUAAUUGGUAAGGAAGGUUUCACUUGGCUAUGUGGUAGGAGUUACUUCCAGGUUUAAUUCAUGUCUAAACCACUUCUCAUAAUAUUAGUUCAUUAAGUGUGGUUCUAUAUAUUCUUGAAGAAUAAUUCUAAUCUUAUCUUUAAUUUUUGUGAUGUUACAAUAACUAACACUUGCAUAAAUUAAAAAUGAAUCUAAGUAUUAUAUUAUGCAUGGUAGAAAAUGAAAUAAGCACAUGUAUAACCAAAUCCUAUAUGAUUAAUAUCAACAUAAAAUAACAUAAAAAUUAUCUCAUAACUAAUUUCUAUAUUACUAAUGUACCUACAUAAUUCAAACUACUACUAAACAAGCCUUAAUUAUUUGAUGAUUCUGAAUUAGCACUAGUUCAGUUUAUCAGUGUUGUAUCUAUUUUAUAAUCUUUUCCUAUCCCUUUAUAUUUUGAAAACUGUCAGAUAAAAACAACAAAAUGGUGGGAAUAAAGAAUACUUAAUAUGGUGUCGUGUACGUUGUGGACCAAUUUAUUCUUGUAAAUUCUCAUAGUCCUAAAAUUUAAUAUUUUUUAUCUUGAGCUUAGCAGCCCUAAUUGUUUUUUUUUUCCUUUUGGUGUUGUUGUUGUAAUUUAGAUAAUCCUAAAAAGCAAACAUGAAAUCAUCAAGGAAACAAAAGUCUGCAAUGGAGGCCAACUUGUGAUUGAAAAAAUUUAAGUAGGGACCAUGAUUUUAGGAAAUUAUCUUGAAGGGUACUGAAGGAAUUAAGCAAAGUAAGAUGAUUUAAUUUGUUAGUUUAGGCCUGUUUUGCCCUGCGAGAUGAAAUAAUGAGAUGAAGUUGAAGUUUUAUUUGGACAUACAAUUUGGACAUUUUGUGUUGUAUGUUUUAUUAUAAACAUAAAAAUCCCAUAUGUUGUGAAAACGAUCAAAAAUUACCACAAUUCUAUUUUUAAUCUUAUCAUAUAAGCUAAAGUUUAUAACAAAAAUAUAAUACACUAUCACAAAACUAUUCUAAAAAGAAUAUAAUAUUUAUUUAUUCUACUUUAAUGAUAAAGUAGGAGUUAAUUUGAAGUAAUAAUAAAUUUUGUAGGCAUCUGGCCUUGAAACUCAAAAAAAUUUAGAGAUGGAGUUGAAGUUGGAGUCGGGAGUUAUUUUUGUUUAUAUAUUUUUGGAGAUAUUUUUUUAACUAUAAAGAUAAAGUUGGAACAAAAAAAAAAAUAAAAAUAAGUUGAGACUUAGAUUUCACUUUUACAAAUAGAUCAUCAAGUUGUAUUUGGACUUUUUAUAGCCAAAAAUCAUUUUUUAAUAAAAUGAAGUGAUUUUUCAACAAAAAGUGAAUAAUUUUAAUGACCAAAUAGGGCUAUAUGUUGGUGAGAGUAAUGGUUAAAUGAAAUAUAAAUGAUUUAAAGAUUGGUAAAAGUAAUAAUAUGAAUUAUAAAUUUUAUUUACAUAUAAAAUAAAUAGUUGGUAAAUAUAAAUGGUGGAUUCUUUUUACAAAAUAUAAACUUACGGGUUAAUUAUGAUUUGAAAUUCCAAACCAUGAUUUUUGAAGAAUUUUGAAUUUUGGGUCACAUAUAAAAUCAUGAGAUGAAAUCACAUGAUCAAACAUUGUUUUUAUCUCAUGAUUUCAUAUCACAGAAAUGAAAUUGCAUGUCCAAAAUAAUACUAAGAAUAUACCUACUAAAGCCAACAAAACAUGCAACAAAAAUUAAUGGAAUUACCAAACUACCCCCAAAAAGCGAAGCAAGCAUGUUGAUAUCGUGUGUGGUUGUUCCCUUUUAUAGUAUACUAGAUGUCAAGGGCCCGUGCUAGCACAGGCCCAAUACGUGUUAUUUUUUUGUCUCAAUUUAUUUACAUAAAUAAAAUUUAGAUAAUCAAUCAUAUAUGCAUUAGAUAUUCUAAGUGGUUAACUGUCGUAAUUAAUAAUAGUUUUUAUGUAAUUUUUAAAUAAUACAUGUUACUCUGCUUGUUCAAACUUUUGUGGCAUCGCUGGCCAAUUAUAUUUGUAAAAUAAUUUAAAUUUUUAAUGAAUGAGAUUUAUAAUACCUUUUUCCUAUUCUAAUUUAAGUGGCAUUGAUAUAAUUUAUAGAGUCAACCAAAUAUUUUAUGUCUUUAUAAUUUUUUAAUUUUUUAAUUAUUAUGAUUUAAGUUUUUUUAACAGUAUUUUUUUUUUGAAACAUUUAACAAAUUAAUUCAUUUUAGAUACUUUAAUUAAUUAACUAUUAUAAUUUAUAACAUUUUUAUGUGAUAUUUAAAUAAUACAUGUUACUCCCCUUGUCCAAACUAUUAUGGCAUUGAAAUUCAAUUAUAUUUUUAACUUUCCUAAUUUAAGUGUCACUGAUAUAAUUUUGAGAGUCAGAUAAAUAUUUUAUGUCUUUUAAAUUUUUAAAGUUGUUAAUUAUUGUGAUCUAUAAUAUUUUUUAUGUAUUCUUUUGGAAUGUAUAAUAUAUUAAUUUUUAAAGAUAUUUUAAGCUGUUAAAUAUUGUAAUUUAUAAUAAUUUUUAUAUAAUUUUCAAAUAAUAUAUGUUACUCUCCUUGUUCAAAAUUCAGUGGCAUUGAUAGAUAUUUUAAAAAUAAUUUAAAUUUCUAAUUCCUGUGAUUUAUAAUACCUUUACUUCUAUUCCAAUUUAAAUGACAUGAUAUAAUUUUGAGACUCAGACAAAUAUUUUAUAUGUUUUAAAUUUUUUAAUUUAUAAAUUAUUGUGAUUUACAGUUUAUUUUUUUAUUUUUUAAAAUAUAUAAAAAAUUAAGAAAAUAAGAUAAACAAAUUAAAAUUGAUGAAAAAAAUGAAGGCAUGGGAAAAGACCAAUGAAGUUGUGCCAAAGUUGGUAUAUUAACCUUUAAAUAUUUUAAGUUAUUAAUUAUUAUGAUGUAUAGUAUUUUUAAAGUAUUUUCUUUUUGAAAUAUAUGACAUACUAACUUUUUUAAAUAAUAUUUUAAGUUGUUAAAUAUUGUAAUUUAUGAUAAUUUUUAUUAAUAUUCAACAAAUAUAUAUUACUGUUUCUGUCAAAAAUUUUGUGAAAUUAAUAGUUAAUUAUAUUUUUUUAUUAGUGUGAUUUAUAAUACUUUUUCUUCUAUUCCAAUUUAAGUAGCAUAAUGCUUAAAUGGUCAUAAUAAUUAAUUGGGGGUGAAAUAGUAAAAUCACGAUUGAAACAGUGAAGUAAACAUGUCUUAAAUGACUUAUAAUAACUAAUUAGAAGUGUUACAACAAAAUUUUUAUAAAAAAUACUUGUGGCAAAAAAAUUAAGUGGACCUUAUAUAAUAUGUCAAGUUAAUUUAACAUUACAUAUUAAUAAUUUUUAAUACUUAUAUGACUUUAAAAUAAUUUUUUUAUUAAGUUUCUAAUAUUUAGAUUAUUUAUAAUAAUUAAUUAGAGGUGAUAUAGUAAAAUUAUGGUUGAAGCCGCUGAAGCACAAUUGUCAUCAAAUGUUUAUUUUACUUUUAUUAUCAACUAUUAUAAAUUUUCUAAUACGUAGAUGAAAUAUAAUUAUUAAUUAGGUGUGAUAUAAUAAAAUUACUAAGCAAGCAGCUGAGCGGUCGGUGAGCAGGACAACUGGAAGCAGCUCACUCCCUCUCCCGUUCACUUUUAUUAUAUAGAGUUAGUAUUUAUAGUACUUUUUAUUUUAUUUUGAAAUAAUUAUCUCAAUUUAUGCAAUGCUGCAAUAAUUUUGAGAAGCAAUCGAUUUUUUCAUCAUGCUUUUUAAAUAUUUUUAAAUUAAUUAUUGUAAUGUAUAGUAUUUUUUGCAUAAAUUUUAAAUAAAUAUAAGUAGUUGUAGAAAAUUUCUCAAAUAACAACAUGUAGAAUUUUGAAGAGUUUGGAUGUUAUUUUUUAAUUUCCUUAAAUAAUAAUAAGUGGAACUUAGGUGAGCUUAGUUGUCAUUUUAGAAACUACUUAAAUAAUAAUAAACGAAACUUUGAGGAGCUUAGUUGUUAUUUUUUAAUAAUGACCCUAAGCUCCUCUAUUCAUAUAAGUAAUUCUAGAAAAGUCCUCAAAUAGUAAUAAGUAAGAUUUUGAGGAGAUUAGUUGUUAUUUUGAAUUUCCUUAAAUACUAAUAAGUGAAACUUUGAGGAGCUUAGUUGUUAUUUUUGAAUAAUGACCCUAAGCUCAUCUAUUCAUAUAAGUAAUUCUAGAAAAGUCCUCAAAUAAUAAUAAGUAGGAUUUUGAGGAGAUUGGUUGUUAUUUUUGGAAUUUCCUUAAAUACUGUCAAGUGGAACUUGAGGAGCUUAGUUGUCAUUUUAGAAACUCCUCGAAUAAUAAUAAAUGAAAUUUGAGGGGCUUAGUAGUCAUUUUUGAAAAAUGUCCAUAAGCUCCUCUAUUUAUUUUUUAUAUGUUUUAAAAAUAUUUUAAGUUUUUUAUUAUUAUUAUUAUUUAUAGAAUUUUUUUUAUAUCAAUUUCAAACAAUUAUCUCAAUUUAUGCAACAUUGCAAGAAUUUUGAGAAGCAAUAAAUUUUUUCAUCAUGUCUUUUAAAUAUUUUAAAAUUAAUUACUAUAAAUAAAUAUAUGUAAUUCUAAAAAGGUCUUAAAAAAUGAUAAAUGGAACUUUGGGGAGCUUAGUUGUCAUUUUUCAAAAACGAUCCUAAGCUCCUCAUUCACAUUCGGUAGUCCGCUUGGGGAAUAGGGUGAUGAAAUGCAAUUCAAAAGCUCACUCGAAGAACAGGGUAAUGAAAUUAAAAAUAAGGAGCCCGCCUAGAGAAAAAGGUAAAGAAAUUGAAAGAAAACAAUGUGAAGAAAUCGAAAGACAACAAAGUAAAGAAAUAGCAUGUCAGGAGACCGCCUAAAAAAUAAGGUGAAGAUUUUCAAGGUCAAAUUCGGGUUCGAAAGUACCACUUGCAGAACAUAGUCAAGUUUUGAGUUCAUUUCCAAUACCAAAAUUUGUAGGGAGAAAGAUUCUACCUUCAAGUUUAAUAAAAAAAAGAAUCUACCUUUAAGUUUAAUAAAAAAAGAGAUAAGAUAUUUUAUCACUUGAGAAAGCAUUAAAGGCUUAAGACAAGAAAUAAGAGAUGUUGCAUAGAUAGGUUUUUUGUAAUUUUAUUUAUUUUUUUAACUUGUAAUCUUCAUUUUUGAUGUAAUGACUUAGCUGCGUAUCGGAACCUCGAGAGGACCUCACUCGUCUCUCCAACUCUGUAUAGUCCCUCUUCUUUUCAACUCUGAAACUACGUAUGACUUGGUUUCUACAUAACCUGGGAUAGGUAGGAUAUCCAAAAUCAUGAAUCGAUUACUCUCUGUCUUUUUGUUUCUUCAUUUUGAAUAAUGAUUGGGUAAAAUUCUGUCUUGUUAUCUAUUUUUUUAUUUGGAAACACUUUGUGUUUAUAGCCAAAGAGGGGUGUGAUGUAGACACAAAAAUUUGGCCCUUACGAAAGGUCAAAUCAACUUAACCCACUCACCUUACCAUGCACUCCACCCGUGUGAUAAUCUCCUCCAUACAAAAACAAAAGAAACAACAAAUUCAUAACAACUUUGGACACCUUAUCCUUACUACACCCCUUACCCCACAUACCCUUCCCUACCCCACCCCUUUACUUUUUUCCCCUUUUCCCACAACAAACUCACAUACUCAUAUACACUCGCCACAACAGAUUCCACACACCUCAUAAUUUACACAGACAUUAACGCAUACACAACAAUACUCACAUAUAUUUUUUUUCCAUUCAACAUAUAUACACAAUACAAAUCACAUACAUUCUCACAAAAAAAGACACAUAGUGAGAAUAUAAAAAUAGUAAAAGAAAAAGAUGCAAAAUAGUAAAGAAAGUGAUGAAAAAAAGAGAGGGAAAAAUAGAGAGAGAUUGAGAGAGGAAAAAUAGACAGAGAGAAUUAUGAGAAAGAGAAAAGAAAAUUGUAAGAGAAGGAGGGAAAUUAAGAGAGAAAAAUUGAGCUGAAUGGAAUAAGGGAGAACAAAUUUUCUUGGCGAAGUUUUCAUCGAAAUUGCCAUCUCCACCAGCGAUCAACCCACCCGCCAGAAAAUCCACCAACUACUUUAUUGAUUACCUCCAUCAAUGAACAACCAAAAUAUAGAGAGAAAAAAUGAUCAAAAAUCAUCACCAAAUCUCCUCUGUUCGAAACUCCAGCCAUUUUCCAUUGUUGGAUUAAAGCAGAUCAACAAACCAUCGCCAAAAAAAUAAAAAAAAUAGAAAAAACAAUUGGGUUCAGAUAUUGAGGUUGGAUUUAUUGAUUGGGGUGUUCAUUAUUGAGGUCGACUCGAGGUAUUCCGAUGUUGCUCCAAUCAUUAGUCGAGUAAUGUGACGAUUGGAAUUCAAUAAAGGUCAAAGUCCUUUUUCCUUAAUCUUUCUUAUAAUUUUGUGGAUCUGUGGUGAUGAUUUGUGCAAUAUUUUGUUAUUAUGGUUGUUUGGUUUCUUGUUGGAAUUUUCUUAAGACAUUUUAAGGUUGUUCGUCCCUAUUUUGUGUUCUGCCAUUCUUAAUCUUUGGGAUGAACAAUUGAUUUUUGCAUCCCAAUUGAUAUUAUUUAACUUGAAAUUGAGGAUGGAUUGACCUUGAUAAAAGUGAAUUAUUGAUUCAUUGAUGGUGGUUUAAUUAGGAAUAAACAUUGAUAUCGUGGAAUGCUAUAGUAUCAUGAUAAGUUGAUAUUAGUAGGCAAACGAUAGAUUGGGUAGAAAAAUUUAAGGUUUGUGAAUUAUUGAAAGUUUGAAUGUUUGUUGAAUGGUUUUCAUUUUAUCGUAUUUGAAUCAAUUUUACUCAUUUGGAUGGGGAAUGACACGAGGUUAUCUGUAUUGUUUUAUCCAGGGAAUGCCGCGAGAGACUUAUAUUCGAAAGACUGACCGUGAUCAAGGCCCGAGUCAUCGGGUAAACCAUACCUUAGGAUAGUUAGGAUAGAUUAAAUCUACAUUUCAGCAUUUCUUUUACUUUGGCCUAUAUUAAAUUAGACUGACACUAUUUUUUGGAGUUUCGACUGUUUGGGUUGUUUGUUUUCUUGGUGUAUGUUUUGUUGGUUUAUACAUUUUAUUGUGUCAUACUAGCAGAUAUACUCCACGAAGCGACCGUGGUCUAACCACGGGAUCGAGGGAUGCCUUACACAUUUUUCUUGGUCAACAAACUUCCUUAAUCGGAAUAUCCUUUUCGAAAUAAAUUUUCACUUUUAGUCACUUUAAUAAUAAAACUCUUUACAAACUUAAAAUCGAAUUUUUUUUUAGAGCAAAAAAAGGAGUGAGACAACCUGAUGGCAGGAUAAAGUAGGUGGAAUCAUGACUCAUAAAUAGU
rnacentral:lncRNA from 1 species